rnacentral:rRNA from 1 species
GGCUGCUUGAGAACUACGAGCGUGUGCUUAAAACUCAAAGAAUUUGGCGGCUCGUUAACUACCUAGGGGAAUAUGUGCCUUAAUCCGAUGUUACCCGUUGUAUCUUACUGCGCCUUGAAAAAGAACAGUUGGUGUAUUGCCGUUGUCAGCUUGUUGUGGAGCAAAAAGUAACAGGCUCGAUGGGACUACUAAUUCGUUAGUAUAAUCCAUGAAUUCAGGUCGAAAUGCUGCCUAUGGUGCUAGGGAGUAGGUGUUACAAUUUUGAGUUAAAAUAACGGAUCUCAUAUGUGAAAUUUCUAUGAGGGAAGGUGGACUUAGGAGUAAGUGAGGAUUAGUAUGCUCCCCUGAACAUGAAUCUAACUUGUGUACAAACCGCCCGUCGCUCUCGCCGGAAGGUGAGAUAAGUCGUAACAGG